UCGCCCACCAGCCCUCCAAUCACUCCAUCUUUGUUCAAGACUUAGAUCUCCCCAUGUCUCUGGUGUACCAGUAGCAUGCCAGUCUCCCGAUGCACCCUCAGAAACUCAUUUACUUGAGUCCAACCUGCAGCUUCUUCCAUCCCACUCUCAGACCCAUCAUCCCCAGAAAAACCUUCAAACGUUUCAUCUUCCGUGGGAGCACUUCCACAAGAACCGCAAGUUCAGAGCCCAGCGUAUCAAGUUUCCCAGAAAGCCAGAUGAGAUGAAGAUGAGUUGAAGACAAAAUCAGAUUCUUUGUUUUCGAUGGCCAAAUAGGAUGUCAGCAGAGAUAGCAAUGAACUGACAUACUGUUCAACAACCAUUUUAUUUAUAGCAUUUUGACAGCUAUUCAAUUGUCUUCUGAUUGGUCCAGAAAGAUCCGCUUUCUGGUUGAUCCAGGGCUCCAUCCGAUAUUUUGCUAGUUGGCCC
rnacentral:lncRNA from 11 species